rnacentral:rRNA from 1 species
UACGGGGGGAGCAAGCGUUGUUCGGAUUUACUGGGCGUAAAGGGCGCGUAGGCGGCCUCUGCAAGUCGACUGUGAAAUCUCCGGGCUUAACCCGGAACGGUCAGCCGAUACUGCAGGGCUAGAGUGCAGAAGGGGCAACCGGAAUUCUCGGUGUAGCGGUGAAAUGCGUAGAUAUCGAGAGGAACACCAGUGGCGAAGGCGGGUCCCUGGACAACACCUGACACUGAGGCACGAAAGCUAGGGGAGCAAACAGG